UACGUAGGGUGCAAGCGUUGUCCGGAAUUAUUGGGCGUAAAGAGCUCGUAGGCGGUUUGUUGCGUCGGCUGUGAAAUCCCGAGGCUCAACCUCGGGUCUGCAGUCGAUACGAGCAAACUAGAGUGUUGCAGGGGAGACUGGAAUUCCUGGUGUAGCGGUGAAAUGCGCAGAUAUCGGGAAGAACACCCGUGGCGAAGGCGGUUCUCUGGGACGGUACUGACGCUGAGACGCGAAAGCGUGGGGAGCGAACAGG
rnacentral:rRNA from 1 species